UAUGCAGCCUUGUGAGCCUGCCCCUUGCAAACCCUGUUGCCUGUGGGCCACAACAAGGCUGCAGAAAGCAACACAAAGAAUGAAAAGGCGUGACUUCUCGAGGCUCGGGAGCUUCACGUGCGAUGUUCCUUGGACAGACUCCUGCCUCCCACGGAGGUGGUGGUUUCGCUCUGUGGCCAUCACCUUUCUUGAGGCAGGUAGAGCAAAGAAAGGGAAAAAAAAAAAAAU